GUCUCCAAUUCAAAGUCCAGACAAAAUGAAGCCUCAAGAUGAUUCUGGAUUGCAAGCAAACAGUAUUCAGAAGGGAGUAACUCAAGGAUUACAUUUUUGCCCCCUUGCUAUAAAAUCGACGUCUCCAAAUCUUUUUCAGCUCGAGAAGCCUCCAUCAAGGUCAAUACCCACUGUUCGCCGAUAUCAGGCUUAUCCAUCGCAAUCAACAUCGGCAGAACCUUGAUUCUGUGUGCUCUGCAACUUCACAUCUAGGUGGUUAAUUACAGCAACUUCAAGGAAGUGUCUUCUGGGUGAUUAAGCAAAGAAGAAAAAGACAACUCUGUGUCUUUAUUUAUUUGGGAAUCUUUUCAAACACAUUUCUGUCUAAAUUAAUCCGGUAAUUAAAUAGUAACUUUAUGUUUCAUAUUGGAU